rnacentral:lncRNA from 1 species
AAAAAUUAAAUAAAUUAAUAUUUUAUUAAUUUAGUCUCCUAUGGCGUUCUAGCAUUUUCCUAUAAAUAGAUGCUUAGGUUAGAAUUGAAAAUCAUACCAGAAACAAGUUUUCUUUCUCUCUAGAUUAUCGAGCGUAUUUUUGUGAGUAUUUUGAUACUUUGAGAGUUACUGUUCGGUACAAGUUUCCUUCAACUUUCUAUCCGAUAUUCCGAUCAGAAGUACAGUUAUUUUGAGGUACGGGAUGUUAUUUUCUUCUUAAAUGAUAUUAUUUUCUUCAAUAUCAUUAUGCCAAAAUAUUGGUGAACUUUUUAAUCAAAUUUGGAACUUUUUGUGUCAGAGUUACUAUUCACGUAUACGGCACUAUUCACAAAUACGACACUAUUCACCAAAAAAUAAAAAAAUUUCUUUUUGUCCAAGAU